AUACGGAGGAUCCGAGCGUUAUCCGGAUUUAUUGGGUUUAAAGGGUGCGUAGGCGGGAGAUUAAGUCGGUGGUGAAAUUUUGCAGCUCAACUGUAAAAGUGCCAUUGAUACUGGUUUCCUUGAGUGUGGAUGAAGUAGGCGGAAUUUGUGGUGUAGCGGUGAAAUGCAUAGAUAUCACGAGGAACUCCGAUUGCGCAGGCAGCUUACUAAACCAUAACUGACCCUCAUGCACGAAGGCGUGGGGAUCAAACAGGAUUAGAUACCCUGGUAGUCCACGCAGUAAACGAUGAUUACUCGCUGUUUGCGAUACACAGCAAGCGGCUUAGCUAAAGCGUUAAGUAAUCCACCUGGGGAGUACGUUCGCAAGAAUGAAACUCAAAUGAAUUGACGGGG
rnacentral:rRNA from 1 species